CCCAAAGGACUUGACGGUACCCCAUAUCCACCUAGAGGAGCCUGUCCUAUAAUCGAUAAUCCACGUUUAACCUCACCAUUUUUAGCUUAUCAGUCUGUAUACCUCCGUCCUCAGCUUACCACGUGAGCGAAACCUAGUAAGCCUAAUGCCCACACGCCAAUACGUCAGGUCAAGGUGCAACAAAUGAAAUGGGAUGAGAUGGGCUACACUUUCUAAUAUAGAAAACACGAAAGACUACCUAUGAAACCUAGUCAGAAGGCGGAUUUAGAAGUAAAAAGAAAAUAGAGUGUCCUUUUUAACCUGGCACUGGGGUGUGUACACACCGCCCGUCACCCUCUUCACACAGACCUAAGUUAGUAUUUAACCAAAUUUAUCUAAUCAGAAGAGGCAAGUCGUAACAUGGUAAGUAUACCGGAAGGUGUGCUUGGAAA
rnacentral:rRNA from 1 species